rnacentral:rRNA from 1 species
AGUGAACGCUGGCGGUAGGCCUAACACAUGCCAGUCGAACGGCAGCACAGUAAGAGCUUGCUCUUACGGGUGGCGAGUGGCGGACGGGUGAGGAAUACAUCGGAAUCUACUUUUUCGUGGGGGAUAACGUAGGGAAACUUACGCUAAUACCGCAUAUGACCUACGGGUGAAAGCAGGGGAUCUUUGGACCUUGUGCGAUUGAAUGAGCCGAUGUCGGAUUAGCUAGUUGGCGGGGUAAAGGCCCACCAAGGCGACGAUCCGUAGAUGGUCUGAGAGGAUGACCAGCCACCCUGGAACUGAGACACGGUCCAGACUCCUACGGGAGGCAGCAGUGGGGAAUAUUGGACAAUGGGCGCAAGCCUGAUCCAGCCAUACCGCGUGGGUGAAGAAGGCCUUCGGGUUGUAAAGCCCUUUUGUUGGGAAAGAAAAGCAGCAGGUUAAUACCCCGCUGUUCUGACGGUACCCAAAGAAUAAGCACCGGCUAACUUCGUG